rnacentral:lncRNA from 1 species
GGCGCGGGGCGGGAGGGUGCCCGGAAACGCCGUCGCGGCUUGGAGCGGGCGCGCGGGGCCUUCGGGAGCCGCGGCGCUGCGUGUCGCCUCCCCUUCCCCUCGGAUCGGGCCCCCCCGCUGCGCUGCCCGAGGAGCCGCUGGACGCUCCGUGCCCGGUUGUUCCCCCUCUCUUUCUGCACCCUGCGCGUGUCCCGCGCCCACGCGUGCCUCUCCUCGUGCCUCCCCCGCCAGCCGUGUGCGCUGCGUCCCAGGCUGCUUUCCCAGCGUGCAAAACCCCGCGUCCUCUUCUGCGCCAAAUCGAAAUUACACAGCGUGCGGGCUGCGUUGGGCCUGCGUGCCAGCGUCCGGUUUGCACGCAGGAUUCUCCGGAGAGGGUAAAUGACGGGACAGAAAUCAGUGCAAAAACAUUGAAAGGCGUUCAGAAGUUCCAGCAGAUCAUUCAUUGCUGAAGGAAUAGCGAGAGUGUUAUGGAUGAGGUCUCCUAUUUAACUUCAGUGCUCUCUCUUGGCAUGCAUGUGUAGAUACAUUCUGAAAGUUUGGCACUUGUUCAUUGCUUUGGCGCCUGAAUAAAAAAAUGGAGAGUAAGCUGAGCUAUUAUGGA